rnacentral:rRNA from 1 species
UACGUAGGGGGCAAGCGUUGUCCGGAUUUAUUGGGCGUAAAGAGCGUGUAGGCGGCCUGGUAGGUCAGUUGUGAAAACUCGAGGCUCAACCUCGAGACGCCGAUUGAAACCAUCAGGCUAGAGUCCGGAAGAGGAGAGUGGAAUUCCCGGUGUAGCGGUGAAAUGCGCAGAUAUCGGGAAGAACACCCGUGGCUAAGGCGGCUCUCUAGUACGGUACUGACGCUGAGGAGCGAAAGCGUGGGGAGCGAACAGG